rnacentral:lncRNA from 1 species
UUUUUAGGAGAGCACGAAAUCUCUACCCUAUAAAAAAGAUUAAUUCAUAUUCUAUUUCUUACAUGCAAAGAGAAAAAGAUAUGGCUGAAACUCUCAAAUUUGUUUAUACUAUGAUUCUAUUUCUUUUCUUAUUUUUUGUCGCAACGGAAUCCGGUACAGGUAAGCCAUUUGUUCAUCUUUUCAAUUUUCCUUCUUUAUUUUGUACUUCUUACAUAAUCUCUUAUCAUUUUAAUAACAUUAUUUUAUUAUUUUUUUUUAUUACAGAACUUAUAGAAUGUGAAAAAGAUAGUGAUUGUCCAAUAUCUUGGCACGAGUUUUUUUGGUUUAGGUGCUAUCGUAAUAAAUGUAAAUGGGUUCAUAGGUUUCCCUGAUUCUGAAUUUCAUAUCCAGGAGAGAAUAAGACUGUGUGCUAUCAAAAUAAAUGUGUAGUAUAUGUUAUGAUAGAAUAUUUCAUUAGUUGUCAUUUAUUUAUUGUAAUGCCAUCCAAUAAAGUUUUUCUUUCCCUAAUUUCAUGUACCAUGUAUGUAUAUUGUGUGUAAAAAAAUAAAUAAAGAACCUUGUGUAUAAUUUUGUAUUCUAAGAUGAUGGUAUGGUUGCAUAAAAAUACAAGUGAUGGUAAGGCAACAAAGAGUGUUAUUUAAAUUAUAUUCUUCUCUUUUGAUUUUGGUGUAACUAGAAUUAGG